AUGGACAUACUCAGUACUACCCUUUUCCACGAUACACAAUUCCAUCAACCAAUUUUUACCACUUUGCACCAACUUCAUCACAUAGCAUCAGCACCAUCUCUAAAAGAUGAAACCAAAACUCUUGGAUUCAAACUCAACAACACAAACUUACUACACAAAUCAAUAAACCACAAGACUUUUCAUCCAAACUUUUUCAAAACCUUUAUACAAACCCAAACACAAAACAAAUCACAUAACAAACAUUCCAACAACAUCAAUUCAAAUUCUGAAAAAAAAGGGAUGACAACAUUAAUUCAAGAAUUGAAAACAAAGUGGAAUUCUGAAAAAGGAAGAAGGAGAUCGAAAGAAAUUGCGUCACACUGA